UCGACGCGCACAACGCGGAGGCGGACGCCGGGCUGCACACCUUCCGCCUCGGCCUCACCCCCUUCGCCGACCUCACCAUGGACGAGUUCCGCGCCCACGCGCUCGGCUUCCUCAACUCCACUCUGCCCCGCGCGUCGCCAGCGACCGCUACCUGCCCCGCGCCGGCGAUGACCUCCCCGACGCCGUCGACUGGCGCCAGCAGGGCGCCGUCACCGGGGUCCAGAACCAGCUGGACUGCGGUUCGUACUGAGUCUCGAUCCAUGCUUGCCAGGCUAGUAAUUAAGUUCUUUGGUAGUAGUAUAGUACAAGGAUUUGCACUGAUGAUGAUCUCUGGCGUGUGUGUUGCCGUGAGGGAUGAUGCAUGCAGGUGGGUGCUGGGCGUUCUCGGCGGUGGCAGCCAUGGAGGGGAUCAACAAGAUCGUGACGAACAACCUCAUAUCGCUGUCGGAGCAGGAGCUGAUUGACUGCGACACUGAGGACUACGGCUGCAACGGCGGGCAGAUUCCAGUUCGUCAUCAACAAUGGCGGCAUCGACACAGUGGCCACUAUCCCUUCGUCGGAACUGACAUGCAUGGCUUGCGAUGCCAUCCGGGUUAGCACUCAUCUCAUCUCAUGAUUAAAUCUCUGCAUCAACAAUAUGCGUACAUUGGUGGUGACGGAGCAGGCCGGUUUGCAUUUUAUUCAAUGCACAUGCAGGAAAACAGAAAGGUUGUGUCCAUAGAUUCAUACGAGAAUGUGCCGGCCAACAACGAGAAGGCUCUGCAGAAGGCGGUGGCGAACCAGCCGGUUAGCGUCGCCAUUGAUGCCGGCGGUCUUGCAUUCCAGCUAGCUCUACAGCUCGGUAAGCAUGAGAGUGAGAGCAGCAGCAGGAUUUGUUCUUCGUUCUGGAACUGUUCUUCCCCGAUUAAUCUUUCGUGCGCUGCGUACAACCUGCGGGGUGAAGCUGGACCACGGCGUGACGGCGGUGGGCUACGGCAGCGACAACGGCGAGGACUUCUGGAUCGUCAAGAACUCGUGGGGAGGGGAGCAGAUUGGGGGGAGGGCGGCUCCAUCCGCAUGGCGCGAAACGUGUUUCUGCCCAUGGGCAAGUGCGGCAUCGCCAUGGACGCGUCGUACGUACCCGGUGAAGAAUGGCCCCAAUGCAACCCGACGGCUGAGCCGGAGAUCAAGAUGGUUCGUGCUUAUUAUUAUUAGGCAGGCUCCUGACCACCGAUUUGACAUUUGCAUGCCAGUGUGGUGUAAGAGUGUUAAUUUGUUUACACGUUUGUUGUUGUGAGUUGUGAUGGAAAUGGUCUCAUAUUGAACUUUAAUUAUUUAUUUAUAUGUACCACCGAAAAUAAACUAUGAAUAAAUUAUCACUUAUAUCCUAUAUAUAUUUCAAGUAUCUGUUUUUUUUUGUUCAGACAAUAUAUAAUUCUGUCAUCGUUUAGCUAUUGAAAAAAUAAAUUAUAUAUCUCGUGUAAGUUGUCUUUAUAAUUAUACUGCUAGUCGGUUGCGUAAGAUUGUUGCUUCAAAAUUCAGACAUCUGAAACAUAGAAACUCUCAUAAAUUAUGUAUAAAUAAUUAAAAAUUGCACAAGAAAAUUUUGAGAACAUUCCUCACAAUGUAAGCCAUUUGUUAGUUUUCGUAGAGGAAACAAUAUGCAAGCCAAUAAAUAAAACUUAUUCUCACCGGACCAGCUUAUAAAUUGCGUACACAUAUCAAGAUUCACGCUUUAUAUUUUUUAACUAAUAAUUUUUACUAUUAUAAUACAAACUUGAUAGGGUUCAAUUUAUAAUAAAAUAUACUAUCCAAUAAUCAUAAUAUUAUAUAAACAAUAAAAUAUAAAAUAAAUAAAUGAUCAAAGUAUCACUUGGAGACUAACAUGUUAAACGUCUUAGGCUAAUCCUAAUGCUAGAAACGCAACUAGAUUCUACGUCUAUCAAAUCAUGUAAACACUACAUAUAUAAAUUAUAUUUUUUAUUGGGUAGUUUCAUUAAUCAAAUUUUGUCCAUUCAUAUGUCUUCUCUCUUCAUUAUCUACCCGUCAUAUCUCUUCAUAUCUUAAUUUCCAUGUAUACAUAGUUUAUUUAUCUAAGACACCAUUUCCUUCUCUCUCUUUUUUGAUUCCAAUGAUACAUUACUAUUUUUGCUUAGUUGGCACUCUAAUUAAUGAACAUAAAAAUUAUUCUAGUUUGUGAUCAGGAGUGCCUUAGGACAGUCUUAGUGGGAGUUCACCAGAGUUUUCAUUUAUAUUUAUUAAGCCAUCACAUAAGCAUUUUUUUAUGAUGUGGUAACAUUUUUAAGAAGGGAGAGAAGAAGUGUGUUUUAUACGGAUAAAACCCUCUUGGCUCGGUUACCAACUCAAUAUGAGUCAUGAAAAUAAACGUCUAUGAAAUAAAAGAAUGAAAAUAUGUAUUGAGAGUGAUGAUUUCAUCCAUGUUUCAUUGCAUUCUAUGAUUUCAUCCACAAUAAAUGAGAAUGGCCUUUUAAACUACUUCAGAGGCAAUACAUGAUAAGGCACCACAUCAUAUAUAUAUAUAUAUACUAUAGUAUCAAGGAUACCAUAUUGUAUGAUAAGUAUUACUAUAUAUAUGUUAGGAAGAAACACCCUCUAUACUGUAUAGUAUCAUUCUCCAAUAUCCAAGAUAAUUAAUUUGUUGUGAUGUCAUGUCUAUGAGAGUGGACGCAGGACUAGGAGGAAAGAGCUAAAAACUUGAUAAGGUGAGGGCUGGGUCAUGGUGAGACGAGGCCUUGGAUAGCACAACUUGCCUGAGAUAGCUAAGGAUCGACCCUUGUUGCAUUAGAGCAUCUCCAACAACUUGAUAAAAUUCACUUGUUAAAUAUUGGGUUAUAGCAAGUUGCAAAUUAGUUUGGCAAGGGAAAAAAAGAUGUGUUUCCAACAAAUUGCUAUUCUCAUUUGGUAAAAUUGAAAACUAGACUCAUCUUUCUCCACAAACCGGUACUGGCCGUGAGUGGCCGCGUCUCCUGCUUGUUCGCGUGUGUGGCCACGACUCCUGCAUGUUCACGUGCGUGGCCGCCGCCACCGCCGUUCGGUACUCUCCAUCACUACUAGAAAACGGAGUAUCCUUGAGGGCCAGCAAUUUCCUUGAGGGGUGAAAUUAAACCCCCAAGGAUAUACAAUUACCUUGAGGGUUGUAUAAAACCCCCAAGAAAAUGCAUAUUCUUGAGUGCUAAACCAAACCGCCAAGUUAAAUCUAUAUUUCCUUGAGUGCUAGUUGAAACCGCCAAGGUAAUUCUAUGUUUCCUUGAGUGUUAUUAUAAACCACCAAAGGUAAUUCACAUUUCCUUGGGCGUAACUAGAAACCACCAAGGAAGUUCUAUUUUCUUUGGGUGUAAACCCUCAAGUAAAUUAUUGUAGCUGCCAAGGUGCCAAGGAAAAAACAGUUUAUAGUCAUAUUUCUCUUAACCACCGAUAUAGUGAACUCAUUGCAUUCUUGUUAGUUAGACAUUGCAUUUUAUAGACAUAAACGCUCCAUUGACAUGUUUGGAAAAUGAUAUAUAAUUUUUGUUAGUAAAUUAAUCCAUUAAAAGUUAUAAUUUUGUGUUGUUAUGCAUUAGAGAAUGCAUAUACUAGCACUUAGCUUGAGAUGCCUGCUUAUUUUAAAGCCAAAAAGUAACAUAAUAUCGUAUGGAGGCAAAGAUUAUAUCAAAGUUAUAGAGCCCGAAGAGAUAUACAACAUCUUAGUCGAUGAAAUUUUCAUUUGAAAUUAUUUGAGGUCCAUAAAAUAUGUUUUAAAUUAUUAGAACUUUAAACUUUAAAUUUUUUGAAUCUUUCAAAUGACCUUAGAUAGAGAUACAACCUAAACCAAAGUUAUAGUACUCGAUGAGAUAUAAAACUUUAUAAUACAAACUUUUUUCAUUUGAAAUCAUUUAGGUUCUCAAAUAUUCAUUACAAGAUCCACUAAAGUAAAAACAAAAAGAAAGAAACAUUCACUUAGUCACAAAAGACUUCAUGGUGUAGUGGUAAGUUAGUUUCACAUGGAACAUCAAGUCCUGAGUUCGAUUCUCAGCUUUAACGAAUAUGAUAUUGUUUCUCUUUUUUUCAUGGAUAUCCUUGAGGGUCAUCGGCACUCAAGAAAACAUCUAUCCUUGGGUGUUUUUACAUUUUCUUGGGUGCCAUCGGCACUCAAGGAAACCUAUAUCCUUGGGUGUUUUUACAUUUUCUUGAGUGUCAUUGGCACUCAAGGAAACCUAUAUCCUUGGGUGUCGUUACAUUUUCUUGACGAUGUUAAAAAUCUGACCACUAAUUCAUUUUCUUGACGGUUUAACCCUCAAGAAAUUGAUUUGUGGCGGCCAGCACUCAAGAAAAUAGUAUUUCCUUGUCUCUCUACCCUUGGCGGCCAUUCCUUGAGUGCUAGCCGCCAAUAUUGAUUUUCUUGGCGGUUUUAGGGGUUUCCUUGAGGGUUUUUGACCCUUAAGGGUAUUCAGUUUUGUGGUAGUGCAUCCUCAACGUCGUUCUCAGGUAAACCUCUCCCGCUCCUUCGCAGCGCCGCUCCCGCCGCCGCCCAAGCAGACCACGAUCCCGCCGCUCAAACUCGUCUGGCUCUCCUCCCACCGCUACACGCUCCCCAAGUUCAAGGCCAAGGCCGACGCUUCCUGGAAGGCGCUGCUCGCGUGCCUCAGCGUCCCCGCCACCAAGCAGCUCUCGCCACUCGAUGUCGAGGCGCUCUUCUGGCGCUCAUCCGCCGACCGCCCUGUCAUCGUGGAGUACGCCAGCGACAUGCCUGGCUCCAGGUUCGCCCCCUGCGCCGCACGCCCGACGCAGCUGCCCGCGGCGAACGUGGGCGAGACGGCGUGGAACAUGCGCGGCGUGGCAAGGAGCCCCACCUCUUUGCCGCGCUUCGUGCGGGAGGAGGUGCGUGUGUGCCCACGGCAGUGUAUUUCGCGAGGGAGAGGGAUUUUGCGCGCGCCGGAGACAGCGCAGUCGCCGUCGCGGAAGAAAUUUUCGCGAUUCGCAGUCGAAGCCGCGCGCGGAUAUAUCCGCGUGCCACACCUCUGGAUAGCAACUUGAGAAAUAUAGCAAGUGUAUUUGAGGAAUUGUUGGAGGAGAAUUUUUGUGGUUUUGUCAAAUUUAUAAAGAUAGCAAGUUCAUUUAAGGAGUUGUUAGAGAUGCUCUUAAUGUGAGCACAUAUUCGUGCUUACCAUAUGUUACAUAUAUGGGCAUGCAUGGCAAGCUGAGUAUCAUGUUGUGUUGUGACUGCAUAAUUUGAUGGGGGUGUUUCGUGAUGAGGGGUAAGUAACAAGAUGCUAGUACUCUUGUGUUUCAUGACCAUUCAUUAGAUGAUUUAGACAAAUGUGGAAAAGGUUAAAACAAUGAGGCCUUGUUUAGUUCCUUCUCAAACCCAAAAUUUUUCAAGAUUCUCUAUGACAUUGAAUCUUUGGACACAUGCAUAGAGUAUUAAAUAUAGAUAAAAAAACAAAAACUAAUUACACAGUUUGCCUCUAAUUUGCGAGACGAAUCUUUUAAGUCUAGUUAGUCUAUAAUUAAAUAAUAUUUGUCACAUAUAAGUGAAAGUGCUACAGUACUCAGGCCUUGUUUAGUUCGCAAAAUUUUUUGAUUUUGGCUACUGUAGUAAUUUUGUUUUUAUUUGACAAAUUUUGUCCAAACAAGGAGUAACUAGGCUCAAAAGAUUCAUCUCACAAAUUACAGGUAAACUGUGCAAUUAGUUUUUGUUUUCAUCUAUAUUUAAUGCUCCAUGCAUGCGACCAAAGAUUCGAUGUGACGGAGAAUCUUGAAAAUUUUUGCGAACUAAACAAGGCCUCAUUUCCCUAAAAUUUUUGAAACUAAACAAGGCCUGAGUUACCUCUUAUGGACUGACAAAAGUCAUAUGAGUGGUGGUCUGGCUCUCAUGUUAGAAAAGUUGUACCUUUUUGCAACAUAUUGACAAUCAUUUUAAAAUCAUGUGUAGGGAUAAAAACGGAUCGGAUACGGACGGAUAUCACCGAUAUUAUAUUUGUUUUCAUAUUUCUGGUCGGAUUCGGAUUCGAAUACGGAUAAUAUCAAUCAUGUCGGAUAAGAUAUGAUUGGAUGUCGACAUCAUAAAUAUACGAUUUAAGUAUUCGGAUACGGAUACGGUAUCAGAUGUUAAACAUUCAAACUCGGAUACGGACAGAUCUAAACCUCUCUAAACGAAUUCGGUCUCGAAUACGAUCGGAAAAUAUCUGUACCGUUUUCAUCCCUAAUCAUGUGCUUUUGGUUAUAAGAAAGCACAUGAUUUUGUGUUUUGCCAACUCCCAAAAUAAUAUGUCAAGUAAAAAAGAAGUCUUCAAGAGUUUGCUAUUUUUAACUUGCCAUAACCAAAAAAAAGAAGGCUCAUUUUUUUACCAGUCAACAGUACAUCGCGACUCCUAUCCUUCACGCAAGAUUGACACCGCCGGCCAUUUGCUCCACCGCCAUCUGCUCCCUGUGCUGCAACGUAUCUUCCCUCUGUCGGCCAUGGGUUAUAUUUUAUUGUGAUAGACAUGAGCUAGGCCUUGUUUAGUUCCAAAAUAUUUUGCAAAAUUGACACUGUAGCUUUUUCGUUUGUAUUUGACAAAUAUUGUCCAAUCAUGGACUAACUAGGCUCAAAAGAUUCGUCUCGUCAAUUUCGACCAAACUGUGCAAUUAGUUUUUAUUUUUGUCUAUAUUUAAUACUUUAUGCAUGUGUCUAAAGAUUCGAUGUGACGGAGAAUCUGAAAAAUUUUGCAAAAUUUUUUGGAACCAAACAAGACCCUAGUAGCAUUCAGUACCACUAGCUAUAGCAGGAUUUUAUUCACGAAUCACGAAGAAGAGUAGACACUCAAUGUCCUUUCAGCAGGAGACAAGGACCUGCAAUAGCAGUCGGCUUGGAUUAAAUUAAGCGUCACGAAGGAGCAGACAACCGUCGUUUUCAUGUAGCAGGAGCAUCACUCACGCGCGCAAGAAACUCCGAUGCAGAUGUGCGUGCGCGUGCGGAGGGGAAGGAUGUCAGGUUCCCAAAACUGCCAAGUUGAUUUGUCAAUCUAGGUCUUGUUUAGUUUCAAAAAAUUUUGCAAAAUAGAAAUAGUAGCGCUUUCGUUUGUAUUUGACAAAUAUUAUCCAAUCAUGAACUAACUAGGCUCAAAAGAUUCGUCUCGUCAAUUCCGACCAAACUGUGCAAUUAGUUUUUAUUUUCGUCUAUAUUUAAUACUUCAUGCAUGCGUCUAAAGAUUUGAUGUGACAGAGAAUCUGAAAAAAUUUGCAAAAUUUUUUGGGAACUAAACAAGGCCCUAUUGGAGAGCAAAAAUUUUUAUUUUGCUAAAUUUUCAAGGAUAGCAACCUUAUUUAGCAAAAUCUUGGAGAUGCUCAAUCUAUCAUUGUCCUUAACGUACCGUUGUCAUGUUGCUGAACUCAUGAAAGAUCGAGCUCACGCGCGCCUCUUUAGUUUACACAUGUGUAAAUGCUCAUGCUGAAUCUAUAUAGAGUGUACAAGUAGUGUUAGGCUCAAUUUACUUCAUGAACUUGUUUACCUUGCUAAAUCUAUAUACAUAGUACUUCUUUGCGUAUUUUUUUAGGUAUAAGAGUGUAAGCCUAUAUUUGCAAUCUUAUCGUUAAUCUGUUAUUCCAAUUAAACAGACGCCGAUAUAUGAGUGCUUCUACGGCCAUGUUCGGGGUGGGAGUAGAGUUUGUCCCGGUCUCAAUAGAGUUUCAUGCACAUUAAAUAUGUUGAUGUGACUCUGUAUUAAUGAAGAGAUAUGAUAAGAGUUUUAUGGAAGUACACUGUUUCUAAAAUAUAGAUGUGUUGGAAACUGGGACACGAAACUCCCAUUAAUAAGGAUGGUCUAAGCAACUCCAACAGUUUUGCAAAUAGGUUUGGGAUUUUUGUUUUUUGUCAAAACUCUCAAAAUCUUCUAUCGAACAGUUUGGCAAUUGGGUUUGACAUUUAUAGCAAGUUGGCAAAUUCUUCUCCUUUCUUGGCAUUUAUGCACACUUAGAAUAGGCUUGACAUUCUGCAUGCAUGUGCUUUCAUAGCAAGCUGACAACUUGAUGAUUCUUUGUUGAUCUUCAGAACCAGUAGAAUUUUGUUUUUGUCAAGUCAAAAUUGUCAAACACUUGGAGAUGUCCUUUUUGUUCCCUCCCCAUAUCGUUUUGGGAGUUGGCAAAUAACAAAAUUUGUCAAACAAAAUUUGCAAAACUGUUGGAGUUGCUCUUAGUACUAGCACAGAUGGUACGAAUCCAGAGAUGAGCAGAUUAAUUAAGUUAUUAAUCUGAGAUUAAUAAAAAAACAUUCAAGGUCCGUUUGCAAUGUAGGAAUUUCGUAGGAAUCACGCAAGAAUUUUAAGAAUCAGUUUAAUUUUACAGAAAAGAAAAACACAGGACCAGGAUUUUUUUUCCCGGUAUUUCAAACAGGCCCUCGAUACAACGGUAUAUAUCCCCCUCAUGAAUACUUUGAAUUAAGCAUGCCUUGCACGUUGUGCUCUAAAAAAAGUGCAGGGAAGCUGUGGCCUGGCGGUCUCGUAGAGAAGUAAUAAGGCGUCGGCGAAAUAAAUUGACGACACACCGUGCUGGUCCUCCGGCCGGGUUCUUCGCCGGCCGUUGGAGCCCAAUUUCUGCCGUGCGCGCGUGGGGCGUGACUGCCUGCACCUGCUGGCUGCAGUGAAAACGGUUCCGGUGUCCCGCGUCCGGCGCCCCCGGUUUAGGACGAAAAGCAUCGCACUGGGGACUAAAAAAUCGGAAAGCAAGCUCAGCUUGAGGGGUGAAUGGGGGUGCCAUAUUCCAUCGUGCGUUCACUAAAAACGACCGGCUGUAUACAUGCGUGCUCUAAUCCGAUCACCCAUGCAUCAUUGCAUUGGAGGCCCCUGUUACCUAAGCUAGCUAUCCGUUUUGUAAACUCUAAUCCGAUCACCCAUCAUUUGCAUUGGGGGUUAAAUGAUCAUUUAGACAAACAGUACACUGUACACGUUCAGUUGUAUCCAUUGUGUCAUCAUAGUUGGGCUCUUGGCAUGCAUGCAUGUGGCGGCAGCCCUUUGUUUAAUGCAUGCAUGCAUAAUGCAUGGCGGCAGCCCUCUGUUUAAGACAGGUCUCUCAAGGAACAAUUUCUUCUUUUAGUGUAAGUGGUGGGCCCGGGUGACCUAGCUCGUUGCUUCACAUGGCUAUAAAUUGAUACCUCGUUCCACAGGCUAAGCCAAACCCACACUGCACUGAGACACACACAUAUACUUCACAUAUUCUCUCCUGACAAUCUCUCGCCCAGCUCAAGUGCUCAACACCAACUCGAAGGAUCGCCAUGCGUCCACCACGCUUCCUAGUGCCCACCACGGCGCUGCUUGCGCUCGCCGUUGCACUGUCACUGGCCGCCGCCGCCGCCGACGCGGCCCGCCACUCCUACGCCAUCGUUCCGGCGCCCGUGGAGCGGGCGGACGACGAGGUGCGGCGUAUGUACGAGGCGUGGAAGUCGGAGCACGGCCACGGCCACGGCUCCGACGACCGGCUGCGUCUGGAGGUGUUCCGCGACAACCUGCGGUACAUCGACGCGCACAACGCGGAGGCGGACGCCGGGCUGCACACCUUCCGCCUCGGCCUCACCCCCUUCGCCGACCUCACCCUCGAGGAGUACCGCGGCCGCGCCCUCGGCUUCCGCGCCCGCCGCGGCGGCGCGAGCAGGGUCGGGAGCGGCAGCAGUUACCGUCCCCGCCCCCGCGGCGGCGACCUCCCCGACGCCAUCGACUGGCGCGAGCUUGGCGCCGUCACCGGGGUCAAGAACCAAGAACAAUGCGGUGCGUACACUCGGCGGCCGGUGCCAUGCACGCGUGCAAGCUCAACUGUGGGUCGUUCUUAUAUAUAUAUAUAUAUAUAGAGAGAGAGAGAGAGAGAGUUUGCAGUUAGUUAUCUGAUGAUGAUCAUCUCUGGGCCGGCGCCUCCGGCCGGCCGGCCGUCGUCGGGCAUGCAUAUGUUGCAGGUGGAUGCUGGGCGUUCUCGGCAGUGGCAGCCAUCGAGGGGAUCAACGAGAUCGUGACAGGCAACCUCGUGUCGCUGUCGGAGCAGGAGAUCAUUGACUGCGACACCCAGGACGGCGGCUGCAACGGCGGGGAGAUGCAAAACGCUUUCCAGUUCGUCAUCAACAACGGUGGCAUUGACACCGAGGCCGACUACCCCUACCUCGGAACUGACGCCGCCUGUGAUGCCAACCGGGUCGGUACUCAUGAGGGUUUGCAAAAAUUUUCAAGAUUCUCCGUCACAUCGAAUUUUUGGUCGUAUACAUGGAGCAUUAAAUAUAGAUAAAAAUAAAAACUAAUUGCACACUUUACCUAUAAUUUGUGAGAUGAAUCUUUUAAGCUUAGUUACUCCAUAAUUAGACAAUGUUUGUCAAAUAAAAACGAAAGUGCUACAAUAACCAAAACACAAAAAAUUUGCAAACUAAACAAGGCCUCAGUACUAUGCCGCCAAAAGAUGCUGCAGUAGGAGUAUCUACAAUUCAAUCAGUACUGACUGAUUGUAAUGGAGAGAUUUGCAUGCAUUGUUCAAUUAAUUAAUUGCAGGUAAAUGAAAGGGUGGUGACCAUUGACGGCUUCGUGAGUGUGGCCACCGAGAAUGAGACAGCGUUGCAGGAGGCGGUGGCGAACCAGCCUGUGAGUGUCGCAAUCGACGCAAGCGGACGUAAAUUCCAGCACUACACCUCGGUAAGCAUCAUCGAUGACGAAUUGACGAUCAAACGUGUGCCAAGAUCAGAUCAUCGAUCAGAUGGAGGUGUUAUCAAUUAAUUUCUGGCCAUGAACGAACUGCAUGCUGUCUUUAAUUACAAUCGUACGUGCAUGCGCAUUAAUUCAGGGCAUCUUCAACGGGCCAUGCGGGACGCAGCUAGACCAUGGCGUCACGGCGGUGGGCUACGGCAGCGAGAACGGCAAGGACUACUGGAUCGUGAAGAAUUCGUGGAGCAGCAGCUGGGGUGAGGCCGGCUACAUCCGCAUCAGGCGCAACGUCGCCGCGGCCACCGGCAAGUGCGGCAUCGCCAUGGACGCGUCCUACCCGGUGAAGAGCAGCUCCAACCCGGCAGGGAUGGCUGUGCUGAAAAUGGUUGCUUAAUUAGGCCUUAGGCUGGCAGCCGACUGAACUGAAGUUACUCGUCUCCACUAUAGUGUGUUGUUCUUAGUUGUGUGAUGAAUGACGAUGCAUGGUCUAGUUUAACUUUAUAUAUAUGUGUAUCACCGGAAGAAAUAAUUAAGUUAGUCCUCAUAAUAAAUUUGUGAUGUGUGAUAAGUUAAUAACUUAUUAUUGUAAUAAAACUUCUGUCUUUUUAGUAACCAUGGAUUAUCAUUCCGUUUUGCAUGGUUUUAUCGAUCUUUUUUUUUAAAAAAAAAAAAGGCAACAAGAGGUUUGUUGCAGAUAUAUAUUAGAAGGUAGAGUAUGGUAAAAGAGAAACGCGCUCGUACAUGCUCCAGACUGCUAAACAGCCUAGCCAUUUUACCAAACUCACCUUUAGAAAACACUCUAGAAUUAGUGUUAUUAUAUUCAUGUGGCUCUUAUAUACAAUAUAGACUAUAGACUGCAGCAAGACUACAACUACGAGGAUGGAGAAAAAUUAUUUUUACGUGUUAUGCGAAUUGCGAAAGAAAUUUGGAGACCUCCCUCCACCUAUUCAUCGAGUGUCCGUUCACGCGAACUGUCUAGAAGUUGGUGCCAGUUUGGAGCAACUGUCUAUGCCCGUCGAAAUGGACCGAGCACAAUCAAAUGGAAGAUUAUUGGUUUCUAGAAUUGAGUAAUAAGGGGAACAUGCCCUCGCUCUCCUAUCCGUUGGAUUCGCUUUGAGAAGUGUUCAAACAUACAUCUCAAAUUCGCAUUGAGAUGUGUGUUUGCACACUUCUCAAAGUGAAUCUAAUGGAUAGGAGAGUGAGGACACAUACCUUUAAGAGCAAAAUAAAUUUUACCGAACAAAAUGUCAUCCUGACUCUUAUGGCACGUCUGGAAGCAGCAAAAUGCAUCAGUGGUCUUCUGCGAAGAUCAAAGGACAACUAAACAAGUUUCAACAGGGAGAAGAGAUGAAUAUUCUCUGUGGGCGUCGGUGGGGGAAAUGUUCUUAGAACCAUAACGAUUGUAAACCAGACAUAGUAAAUAACCUAGUAGUUCCAAACCUCAUACAGCCGUCGGCUGCGUGAGGUAGCGCAACUUGCACUUAUAAGUUGUAAACUGUGAAUUCUUCUUAUUAAUGCAAUGUCGGAUAACCGGAUCUUUCAAAAAAAAUAUAUAACAGAUGAUUAGUUUGUACCACACUAAAGGAAUAACAUCGUUGAUCAUGGCCUCUCAUCCUCCAUCGUCACCUAAGAGCAACUCCAAUAGUUUUGCAAAUAGGUUUGGCAUUUUUGUUUUUUUUUUUUGCCCAAACUCUCAAAAUCUCCUAUCCAACAGUUUGCAAUUGAGUUUGGCAUUUAUAGCAAGUUGGCAAAUUCUCCUCCUUUCUUAGCAUUUAUGCACACCAAGAAUAGACUUGGCAUUCUGCAUGCGCGUGCUUUUAUAGCAAGCUGACAACCUGAUGCUUCUUCGUUGAUCUUUAGAACCAGUAGAAUUUUGUUUUUGCCAAGUCAAAAUUGCCAAACACUUGGAGAUGUCCUUUUUGCUCUCUCCCCAUAUCAUUUUGGGAGUUGGCAAAUAACAAUAUUUGUCAAACAAAAUUUGCAAAACUGUUGUGUAUCAAUGGAGGAAUAGUUGUACCACUGAAGGAACCACUACGCAAGAUUUUAUAUCACUGCCUCUACCACUACUACCUGGCGCACCCUAAUUAUUAUAACUGAAUACUAGUGACAUUAUCAUCAAUGUGGGGAAUUGGAAUUGUGAUAUCCUUUAGGUGUACCACUAAAGAAAUAAUUUGCACAAUGGAAGGAAGAACUCAGUUUGUUAGAUCCGCACCAGAUCUAGCCUAGCACCCUAUGUCCUAGGAUUGUGAUAUGAAAGAAUAGUUUGUACCGGUGAAGGAACAGCUCGGCUAUGUUAGGUUGCAUAGUGAAUUUGCCCAACUCGCUAUAUCCAUGACCAUGAGGAUUGCAAUAUCCUUUGGGUGUAUCAAUGCGUACUACUGAAGGCAUUGAAGGAAUAACGAAUAACCCAAUCAUGGUAGAUUGCACAAUGGAUAUAGCACAACUCGUUAUAUCCACGAGCCAGCGCCACAGUGGUUGCCUGACCUUUUAUGGUGUGUUCCCCCUUGUUGGGGAAAAGCUGCAUCCUUCUCCCUGGUAGCGCCGGAGGUUAUCCUUCACCUGAGGAACCUCCGACGUCUGGGACGUCGGAGGAUAACCUUCGACGGGGAAUACUAAUGUUGACGACUCGUCAGGUCAUGCAAAGUGUGCGCAGGAACUGAAGCACCGGCGGAGGUCCGCGAGCGAGGAAAAGGUUGGAACCUCCGACCCUCCCGAGUCCGAGGAUAACAGGAGAACGCAACCAGGCCGAGCAACCUCCGACCAGCCGGGCUGCGGAACCUCCGACACCGAAGCGUCGGAGGAUCCACAACUGGGCGGAGGCUCCGAGCCUUCGACCUGCUGAAGCCCAGUCGAAGGAUGAACAAAGAGUUUGCGACGUGAAAUUACGCGAGUACAUUGGGGUCAGUAGACUGCGAUGAAAGAAUAUGCUGGAAUAUUCCCCCACCGUCGCGGGGCAUUUAUGUAAAUGUCGUUGAGUCGGUCUCCGAGCCCUAUAUAAGGGGCGUGAUGCCGCCAUUAAUAGAGAGAGAGCAUUCACUGUAUUCACCUACUGUUGAGUCCACUGUCCGCUAUUGCUCAAGCCUCUCACGGCACCGAGUGAGAAGGUUCUCGAUCUACUGUACUGCUGGGGCGUGCGAAGAGCAUUUUCCCAACAUUGGCGCCCACCGUGGGGCCCGAACUAUAACCUGCGAUGGCUGGAAAGAGAACAAGCACCACAAGACCUCGGGGAGAGCCCUCCAGGAGAGGAAGGCCAAGGAGGGCCGUGCGGAGCACGUACGCGACCAUGGAGGGAGAAGGUUCUGAGGGCGAGCAGCCAGAGAACGAGCAGCCGGAAACACGCCAGGAACCUCCUCCCGCCGCAGACCCGGCGCAGCCCUCGGCCACGCAAGAGCUCCAGCAGCUUCAAGCGCAAUUGCGGAACCUUCAGCAAGAGCGAGACCGGAUCGCUGCUGCCUACGCCGCCAGCCAAGAGGCAGCGGUAGCGGCGACGCAAGCGGCUGAGAUCAGGCAGCAGCUUUCACUCCUGCAGGCAGAAAUCCUUAGCAUGCAACCCCCAGCUCAGCCAACAAUUCAACCCGCUGUUCUGAACAGCGCCGGCCCAACAUUAGAUGUGCAACCGACGAACUACGGCGGCAUGUUGCGGGGCACGUUGGACCUUCGUUCCCCUCUGUCCGAAGGAUUGCAGACCUCGCCUUGGCCAACGACUUACAAACCGAUCACGCUCCCUAAAUUCAGCGGAAAGGCCGAUCCGCGCCAAUUCCUGAUGAGUUUCGAGGCAGCCGUGGCCUCAGCUGGAGGGAACGAGACUGUGAUGGCAAAAUCCUUCGUGAUCGCAGCCGAGGGAGAUGCCUUAGCGUGGUACUCGAUGCUCAGACCCGGGUCGAUCUAUUCAUGGGAGAACCUUCGAGACAAGAUUUUGGCGAACUUCCAGGGAUUCGCGGUCGAAUCACUAACCUCCACAGACCUGUUCCAGUGUCGCCAGAGUCAGGGAGAGGCACUGCGGGAAUACUUCCAGAGGUUCGUGCAGACUAAGGCGAGAGCACCCGGUGUGCCAGAGGAGGUUGCCAUCGAAGCGGCCAUCAAGGGUCUUCGCAUAGGACCCUUCGCGGCUCAUUUGGCCAGAGAAAAGCCAACAUCCAUGCACGAGCUGUACCACGAGUUUGAGAAGUAUUGCAGGUCAGACAACGACUACCGCAAAAGGUUGGAAGACCAAAACUCUCAGAAGAGGCAGAGCAAUGAUAGAAAUUCACAGAAGAAGAACCUCGGACAGGAUGAACGCCGGCCACAGCGAGAGACUGGUGGACAGAUGAUGAAUAUCGAGCAACCGAAAAAUGACAGGCCGGAAAAUAACCGUCCACCAGUGGAGGCGCGGAGCUCGGAACGCAUACCCAAUCAAGCCGGAAGAGGGGGUCGAAAUGCGGGAUGGCGAAAAAAUCAAAGUCAGCGACCACGGAAACAGUAUUGUUUCUUCCAUGGAGAAGAGAAGGGUCACUCCACCAGAGAUUGCCCAGAUGCAAAAGAAACUCAGGAGAGGAUCAAGAGCAGGUCGGCUCCGCAACCUCCGAUACCAGUUGCUCAGCCUCGGGAAGUAAACCACACAUUCCCUCAAACCUUCUACCAUUCAUAUGUCGGAGGUUCAAGCCAGCAGCACCCAGCUCCACUUCAGCCCAGCGCGCUAGCCUCCGCUUACUAUCCCAGCUUCCUACCAGCUUGGCGCCCAGCCCAGCAAACCGCGGACCACAACCUUCCACCAAACUAUGUUCCUCCACGGCCUCCACAUAUUACGUACAUCGAAACCCCGCAACCCCACCAGCAGUCACUGCCUCCUCCCCCAAACCAGCUACAGCUACUCCAAGCCCCACCACAACCAAAAACCGAACCCCACCCUGAUAAUCAGAUCGGUCCCCAUACACCCCUCCCCACAAUUGGAAUGAUCUUACCAAUAGCCGGGGGGUCCUCAAUGGAGUUCCAGACAAAAAAACAGAAGAAGGAUCACCUCAGGCUCGUCAACAACGUUGCAGUUCAAGGGCCAGUGAGAUGCACUGAUUGGUCCAGAACCCCAAUAACCUUCACCGAGGAAGACCUAAGAUUGGAAAGCUACCCUCACACAGACGCCUUGGUCAUAACAACAAAUGUUGCGGGUUGGGGGGUAAGCAGGAUCUUAGUGGAUUCAGGGAGUUCCGCAGACAUAAUAUUUGCUGGAACCUUUGACCAAAUGAAGCUCAGCAGAAGCCAACUCCAACCUUCGGAGUCACCUUUGAUCGGGUUCGGAGGAAAACAGAUACAUGCUCUGGGAAAGGUUGCAUUGCCCGUAUCCUUCGGCACAACAGAGAACGCAAGAACAGAGUACGUCACCUUCGAUGUGGUAGACUUGCACUACCCAUAUAAUGCCAUAUUCGGGCGAGGAUUCUUGAACAAGUUCAAUGCGGCCGCUCACAUGGGAUACCUCUGCAUGAAAAUCCCAGCUCUGCACGGAGUGAUAACGGUUCACGGAAGUCAAAAGGAGGCAAGGAACAUAGAGAAAGCAAUCUACAAGUCCUUCCGGAACGUAAACUCCGUAGACUCUACGCAGCAUGAAGCUUCCCAGCCGCCAGACAUGCCAAGGGGGAAAACAGACCUGGCUGAUCAGGAGGAAACGAAGUGUAUCCCUCUGCAGGAAGCUGUUCCAGAUAAGAAGAUCACCAUCUCCGCCACCCUUGGCAGAGAGGAGGAACUCGAAUUGCUAGACGUAUUGCAAAAGAACCAAGAUAUCUUCGCUUGGAGUGCCGCUGACCUACAAGGAGUCAGCAGAGACAUAAUAGAGCAUUCGCUGGACAUCGAUCCGAGAAUGAGGCCGAAGAAGCAGAGGCAGAGGAAAAUGUCUGAAGAAAGAACCUUAGCCGCGAAGGCAGAAGUACAAAGACUCCUGGACGCAAAGGUCAUCAGAGAAGUCAUAUACCCGGAAUGGUUGGCAAAUGUGGUCUUGGUCCCCAAGAAAAAUGGCAAAAUGAGAAUGUGCAUAGAUUUUACAGAUCUCAACAAGGCUUGUGUCAAAGACUCCUUCCCCUUGCCAAGGAUAGAUACCUCUGUGGACAAAGCAGCCGGUUGUCAGAGAUUCUCACUGCUGGACUGUUUCUCUGGUUACCACCAAAUUUGGCUCAAAAAAGAAGACGAAGGAAAGGCAAGCUUCACGACCCCAUUCGGCACGUAUUGCUACACCAGAAUGCCAGAAGGUCUCAAAAACGCUGGAGCAACCUUCUCCAGAAUGAUGGGGAAGGUUCUAGGAAGUCAGCUACAGAGGAACAUCAUAGCCUACGUCGACGAUGUUGUCGUCAUGAGCAAGCGCAAGGAAGAUCAUAUCAAAGACCUGCAGGAAACCUUCGUCAACCUUAGAUCUGCCGGGCUGAAACUCAACCCGGAGAAGUGUGUAUUUGGGGUCAGCAAGGGAAAAAUGCUGGGGUAUAUCAUCAGCUCCGAAGGAAUUAGAGCUAACCCAGACAAGACAAAAGCAAUCAUGUCAAUGGCAGAACCUUCAAACAAGAAAGAAGUGCAAAGGCUGACUGGCCGAAUAGCAGCACUCAACAGAUUCAUCUCGAGAUCGGCAGAACGAAGCCUCCCAUUCUUCAAAGUGUUGAGAGGAGAAGGUAAAACAGAAUGGGGUCCGGAACAAUCAGAGGCCUUCAGGCAUCUCAAAAAUUACAUUGCGACCAACCUGGUGGUGACAGUGCCUGAGCCGGACACCCCACUACUACUGUAUGUGGCUGCCUCCAAUCACGCUGUCAGUGGUGUCCUGGUGCACGAGACAGGCGACAGUAAGGGAACGGUGCAAAGACCCGUCUACUACGUAUCUGAAGCUCUAUCAGGGGCAAAACUGAACUACACGGAGAUAGAAAAAAUCGCAUACGCGGUCCUGUGUGCAUCAAGGAAGCUCAAGCAUUACUUCCAAAGCCAUGAGAUUAAAGUGCCCACUUCACAGCCACUGGGUGAUAUCCUUAGGAACAAAGAGGCUUCCGGACGUAUAGGAAAAUGGGCGGCCGAACUAUCACAGUUUGAUAUCACCUAUGUCCCCAGAACCUCCAUCAAAUCUCAAGCCCUGGCUGACUUCAUGGCAGAUUGGACACCUUCGAACAAAAACGAGGAGAAGGUAGUCGAUCAGCCGUGGACGCUGUAUACAGAUGGCGCCUGGGGCCAAGCGGGAGCAGGAGCAGCAGCCGUUCUAAUCGCACCAUCUGGACUCAAACUAAAGUUUGCUAUACGACUUGAAUUCAAAGCAACAAACAACAUAGCUGAGUAUGAAGGUCUCAUCCUCGGGCUGAACAAGGCUAAGGCUUCGGGAGCAAAAACCCUACUCAUCAAAACAGACUCCCAGGUGGUGGCAGGACAAGUGGAGAAGGAAUACCUAGCACACAACCCGGAGCUGGCAAGGUAUCUGGCCGUCGUAAGAGGCCUGGAGAGAAGGUUCAAGGGAUUCACUCUGCAGUACAUUCCAAGAGCCGAAAACUACGAAGCAGACGAGCUAGCGAAGGCAGCAGCCAACAACACCCCCUUGCCAGAAGGAACCUUCCACCAGAUUGUUACAACACCCGCAACCGAAUCGUUGCCAAAAGCCUUUCGCUCAGUCCUGCUAACAGAAAGCGAAGAUUGGAGGCAGGCAAUAACUGAUUGCCUCAAAGGCGAGACAGCUGUAGAUGACGAAGCAACAUCCAAGAGGAUGGAGGCAAGAGCAAGGAAUUACACCUCCAUUGACGGGAUCCUGUACAAGAAAGGCGUAGUCCAACCUUUGCUGAGAUGCAUAUCACAAAGCGAGGGCAGAGAACUCCUACAAGAGAUACACUCAGGGAUGUGCGGGUCUCACAUUGGACCCCGCGCGUUGUCUGCUAAAGCACUAAGACAAGGCUUCUACUGGCCAACUCACAUUAAAGAUGCUGAAGAAAUAGUGAAGACAUGCAAAGCCUGCCAAACCUUCUCACCAAUUCAGUCAGGACCUUCAGCACCAACUCAACUCAUACCAGCAUCAUGGCCGUUGCAGAGAUGGGGAAUGGACCUGGUAGGGCCAAUGCCAACUGCCCAGGGGGGAAACAAAUUCGCAGUCGUGGCCAUCGAAUACUUCACAAGAUGGAUCGAAGCUAAGCCACUGGCAACCAUAACCUCUGAAACAAUCAGGAAAUUUUUCUGGCAGAACAUAGUCUGCAGAUUCGGAGUCCCACGCUUGCUCACAGUUGACAACGGGAAGCAGUUUGAUUCAGACAGUUUCAAGGAAUUCUGCCAUCACAUAGGAACCAAAAUUGCUUUCGCAUCUGUUUACCACCCAGAGUCAAACGGGGCCGUAGAGAGAGCAAACAGAACAAUAUUCUCCGCAAUCUCCAAGACCUUACUCAACCUACGCAAGGGGAAAUGGGUUGAAGAACUACCAAGAGUUAUAUGGUCACAUAACACAACAGUUUCAAGAACAACUGGGUUCACUCCAUUCAAACUCUUGUACGGGGAAGAGGCAAUGUUGCCCGAAGAAAUCAAACACCAAAGCCUGCGUUCCAUGAAGCAGCAGUUGGCUGAAGACGAAGAGUACUGCAAGGAAACCUUAGAAUCAAUAAGACUUGAGGCAGUGGAGAACAUUACCAGGUAUCAACAAGAAACAAAGAAUUGGAGAGACCGCAAGGUAGUACGAAAAGACAUACAAAAUGGGGACCUGGUGCUCAAGAAAAAAGGAGAUCACCCAAACGCUGGUAAAUUGCAACCCAAGUGGGAAGGACCUUAUACAGCAAUACAAGCGGGAAGGUCGGGAUCCUUCUACCUGAAAGACCUCGAAGGUAGAACCUCCACCCACACGUGGAACGUCGACAAUCUACGUAGAUUUUAUAUUUGAGUGUAAGGAUGACCCCUGCAAAAUAAGCGGCGGCACCCACAUCCCUAAAUACGCUUGUUUUCUUUUUCUCUACUUUUUCGCAUUCCAAGGUCUGCACUCUUUUCCUCACAGGGGUACUCCUACCAGGAGGUGAGGUUUUUAACGAGGCAGAACCUAUGUAAAAACCUCUGAAUUAUAAAGAGGAAUCCACCCCAGAACCAAAUCCCAAAAGUCGAAAAACAGCCAGCAACGAGGCUGUAGCAUUCGACAAAACAUCACGUGAUCACAAGGACCCUCCGUAGCUUUCAUCCAAAAGCUAAGAAAGCUCGGAACGUCCUCAAAGGUGAAAAAAAACACCAAAUCCUUAGCAAAAGACCUAGCCAAGAGCCGGGCAGCAAGGAUAACAUGGCCAAAAAGUGAAAAAGUCCUGUCCUCCUCAGGCAUCACAACAUGGCCAGAAGGAACAAAACCUUCAAACCUGACAAUGACCUGAGGAGAAUCAGGCAUCAGGAACUAUAUUAUUUUUGCCAAAAGGCAGCGUAGGUUUAACAUUCAAAGGACAGACCUCAACAAAAUCCACAUAACCUUCACCAAAAUAAGGUUGAAGGUAUCCUGCUACUCCAAGCAGACCCCCAACAAACAAAGUGUGAAAUCAAAACGAAACUACAAUAACCCUCGGUCAGAUACAGCCAAACCAACUACCACAACAACCAUCAAUAACCCGAUAAUAAAUUUUAACCUAACAGAGUACAUAAAAUAAAUGCAUGAAAGCCUAUAAAACCAGGCUCACCCUACCCCCACCCUCAAUCAGGAUCAGCAUACAAAGACCCGAGCACCAAGUGCAAACCUAGCAGCCAAAAAGCAAAAAUCCUAAGCCACCAUGGAAGCAGGAGUUAGCCUCACAACACCAACAAAAGUUUGUAUCGCACGAAGCUUCGUAAUACUAGAACUACGGCGUUGUGAUGAACAUCGACCACAAAGUCGUGUACAGCCACAACAGAAACAAUGGAAGUCAGACUCAGAGGUCUCUGAAGGGUAUCGCACGAAGUCUCGUAACAUCCCUUCAGAACCUCCGACUUAGACAGCCGAAGGUUCUCCUCGACAACACUCCACGGGAGUCGAGCAAAGGAAAAAAAUAGCACAAUUCAGCGAAGGAUCCUUCGCGCCAAAAAAUUCGAAGGUUCUAAGCCCAAGAAACGGCGAUCCUCCGCGCAAGAAAAAAUCAACAACUCCUUCGCAACAUCAAGCAUCAAGAACAAGCAAGCCACAGCAACACAAAGAUCCUUAGGAUCAACACCACCGUAACGUUGCAACAUAUAAGUGCUGUAGCGCGAAGGUUGUAAUAAAAAUGAGAUCGAAGGUUGUAGCAAACUUAAAAACUUUAUUAUCGAUGAAGAAAUCAUUACAAAAGUUCGUUUACAAAAAAUGAAUAAACUCAUCCUUCGACCCAUAAAAAGUCGAAGGUUGCAGCGAAGGUUGCAGGUAGCUUGUACAAGUUCAACUUACAGAUCCUCCUUCAGCUAAACAACCGAAGGACCUAUGAGUCACGUACAAAUUAUAGCGCGAAGGUUGUCAAAAUUAAAAGGUGCGAAGACCAUGUAGUAAAAAUGUCUGAUCUUUAUUAACCGUAUACAAUGUACAUAACACAAGCUUACAACAAAAAACGAGAAACAUCCUCCGACCGUAAAACUCCGAAGGUUCUAAGACCCUCGCACAAUUCUAACAUACGAAUCUGGAAAAAGCCUAAGAUCAUCACAGUAAUCACGUACAAGGAAAUCAACUAAGUCAUCUAUACUACGCGUAGGAUACUUGUGGCGCCACCAGUCAAUUAAAUAGCCCCUCGCAUACAAAUCUCCGCGCUUGAACGUCACCGGGGUAACGUAACUUCCUUCGACAAAGUUCGAAGGAAGAUCUUCCAACGGAGAGGAAUUGACAACCUGCGCGCAGAAAAUAAUAACUUCAAAUCCAACAAAAACGAAGGAUAAAACUAAAAAUCCAAACGAAGCUUUCGAACCUCCGGAAAACCUUGAAGAAAAGGCUCAGCAACAUCCUCAGAAGCCUCCGCCACCCAACGUACCCUAUCUCUCUCACCAAAGAUGCGAAGGAUAGGAUAUGGGAACUACAUAAACACAUCAAAUCAUGUCAUAAAAAAUAUAUAACCAAAACCUACGAUAAACGAAAAGAAAAUCAAAAUCAUCAACCUAAGCCGGAGGCCAUGAACCUCGGCGCGCUAGCGACCGGAUAAACCCAGAGCCUUCGCCAUCAAUAUCAUAUCCAACAAACUCGAACAUGUCCACCAAUCUCAUAUUAGGGAAGGCAACUUGCCAAUACUCCCACAAUUCACCAGAAACAUAAAUCCCUUUGUAAAAAAACGAAAGGGGAGUAAUGAAACGAUCCUGCGCAGGUCCUCCGCCAGAGACCUGCGCAGGAUCAAAGUGUAAAACAAAGGCUUAUCUGAAAACAACUCAAUAUAUUAUAUUUUAAACAGUCUUUACAAAAUAAAGCACAACCUCCGGCCUUACUUACAAAAAAAGCGUCACACACUUGGACGCAAAAAAGACUAAGAAAAACCUAAAAACUAAAAAGCCUCACACCUGAGGCGGAGGAGGAGCAGGAGCUUCGGGAGUCUCUGAAACCUUAGCACCAGAUCCCUCCGGAGCUUUGGCACCAGUAUCACGAGCCUCCGCUUCGGGCUGGGUCGGAGGGCACGCCUCACUCGGGAGACGCGAAGGUCCGGCCUUGACAACCUUAGCCUUCUUCUUCGCAAUCUCCUACAAAAUACCAAACUUAACUAACAAUGCAAAGAUGCGAAGCAAAGUACAAAAAGAAAAACAAAUAACCAAACAAUACAAACCUCAGCUCGACGAUCCUCCGCCAUUUUCUUCGCCUCACCCCGCCCAAACCUAAUCCAGAACGAACUGAUGAAGUUCCGGACAGAUUUGCGCAGGGAAGAGGUCCCUUCGCCAACGUCCUCCGCCGCGGCAAAAUCCUCCUUGGCAACUCCCUCCGCGUGAGAGCAACCUCCGCGGCGCAACAGCCUCGCGAAGGAGCUAACCGCGGCCAAAGCCCCAAAAUCAACAGCACCUCCGACAAAGUCGGGGAGCAUGCGGAUAUGAGACUUCAGCCACGCGAGGGCAGCCCCAACAUCGCCGCCAGGCGGAGGAGCAGAGGUGCUUCCCCCAAACUUCGCAAGCGAUUCGGCAUAGAGCUCGACAAUAGCUGCAGCCUCCGCUUCCGCCUUCCGCAUGCGAGUCUGCAGCUCAGCCGCAGACGUCCGCUCAGCGUCAAGCUCUUUGCGAAGGCGUUCAGCAAUGUCCUCCGCCUUCUCAGCUCGCUGCAGGGCUACAUCCCUAACUCUCCCCGCCUCAGCAACACUUGUGCGGAGGACCGCCACAGAAGCUUCGGCAUCCUCCUUCUCCUUCCUUAGAGCCUCCGACCCAGCCUUGUAGUCAUCCCUCUCCUUCUUUAGGGAGUCAACCUCCCUCCUGACGGAGGAAAACUCCCUAACCUCCUCCGACAGACGAGCCUUCUCAGCCUCCAGAGUCUCGUUCUCCUUCUUCAGAACACCAAUUGCCUCAUCACGGCAGAUAACCUCCCGAGAGCAACGCUCCUCUAAGGCUGCAGCCAUGUGAUGACCCUGCGCAAAAAUAAAUAGUUACAACAAACCUCCAAGUGAAAAAACCGCGAAGGAAGAUUCGGCAAAGUGCAAACUUACAAGGCUAUGGUGCUCAUAUUGCACGCGAAGGAGCGUGUCAAAGUCCAUGCCGCGAAGCUUCUGACGAAAACGAUCUGUAAACCAAAAACAAUUGAGAAAAAACAUCGUAAGAAACAAAAAACCAUUGGCGGAGGCCAGAACACUAACCUCCGACCAAGGAAUGAACCUCGCGCAAGGCAUCAGUCCAACCUGUGAUCGAAGGUUCAGAAGCACCUGCACAUAACAAAAACGAACCUUAGAAUAAAAUGACAAAAACAAACCGAACCAUUGAAACCAAAAAAGAGGAAACUCACCAGGACCAAGAACAUCAGCAGGCGAAGGCCUGUUGGCCAAUGCGGAGGGCGCAGGCUCACGCGGCGGAGGAACGGCAAGCCCCUCCUGCGCGACGCUGGCGCCCUUAGCCAUUUCCUCCGCGGUAGCCAGCCCAGUAAAAACCUCCGCUGAAAGAUAAACAAAAAAACAUGAGAACAAGUCAAUCAAAACUUGCAUAAAAACAAAAUAAUCAAUAAAAAAUCAUUACCCAUGUAUAACGAGUUAAUACCGUCACCAGCCGGACAAAGGGGAGCCUCCGCCCUCCUGAUCCUCCGAACGGAGGCGGACUCAGCCUCGUCGCUGGACUCCACCUGAACCUCCUUAGGCGGAGACCCUCCGCCAACCGAAGCAACGCGCGGACCCUCUGACUCCGCAGGAUUCGCCUCCCGCACAGGGCUCGCCACGGGGGCCUCCGCGUCAGAGGACUCCUCCCCAAGCAGAGACGCGAAAGGCGCGCGCACAGAGGAAACCGCACGCGAAGCUUCAGCUUCAGGAGCUCCACCAGCAUCAGCUUCAGGAGCCCCACCAGCAGCAGCAGCCUCCGCAGGCGCAGAAGCUACCGAGUUCGACUCGGCACCAGAUGAGCGGGCGGAGGAAGACUCCACAGGAGUCUCUAGCACAACCUCCGCCCUCCGCUUCUUCGCAAGCUGCUUGACUGCGCCACCCCCUCUCCUCUUCUUCGACUCCGCCAAAGCGACAGCCUUCGAGGAGUCCUUCUUCUUCUCCAACCCAAGCAAAACAUCCGGAGGAAUAACAUAAUCCUCGUACUCAAUCCCCAAUUCCUCAAAAACGCGGUUAAACCGGGGCAUCGUCCCAAGCGCAGACCUCCGCUGGAGAAACUCCUUCUCCGAGAUCUUCCCGACGAUCCUCCGCGCAGAUACCUCCACGCGAUCAAGGAAGGACUCCUUGGUCUCAUCCUCCGGAAUACCCGCGCCGAACCGGGGAAACGGCAACCCCUCCGGAGGACCAAACACAGGAACUUGCACCAUCUCAAUGGUGAACUCAUCGGUCCUGCGGCCAAGUGGCCAGUAGUCAGCAGCGACCAUUUCCUCAACCAAAUCCCGGCCUCCGGAGUAUCGGCAUGCCAACGCAAAUGCCUUGUCACAAGCAACUCGUUCCUCCGACAUCUCCUGCGAAGGAUCAACCUUCGAAAAAGGCUUCAGCUCCUUCAUCAGCGACGCGUAAGGAUAAACUUUGUCAACGCUGCCGUCAUCCAAAGUCUUCGACGCAGCGGGGGUCCUCACGUAGAACCAAGCUCUCAUCCAAUCCUUCUCCCACUUCCCCUUUUGGCAGUAGGAGAUUUCGCACCUCGGCCCAGGCAUUGUGCGGCGCGGCAUGAACGCGCAGCUUCCGAACUGCGCAAUACACUCGACACCUUCGGCAUCCUUCACCUUCUUAGGCUGGCGCUGGAGCUCAAAGUACGAGCAGAAGGUGUCGAUGUGGGGCAUGGCUCCGUAGGAUUCGCACGCCCACGCGAAUUUGCUAAGGGUCAGUAUCCCAUUGGGGCUGAAAUGCUGCAGCUCCACGUUGAAGCUCUCCAUCACUUCGCGAAGGAAAUGAUACGGAGGCAUGCGAAGUCCGCAGGUGAAGAAGUCCCUGAAUACCACCGCAUACCCCUCUUCGGGCGCAGGCACCGUCUGACCAGCAGGAGGAGCCUCCGCACGACCUUCCUUGAAAAAUCUAGCCUCAACCAUGUCAGCGAUAUCCUCCGCCCUCACAGUCGACUGCCCGAAUUCAAAAGUAAUCGCCGCCAUCCCCUCAAACUCCUUCGCACUUAUCAGAUCACCAACAGAAGCUUCGACGUCAGACAACGUCUCCUCCAGAUCUUGAGCUUCGGCCGCCUCAAGCAUCCACUCCUCAAACCUCCGCAGCCAACCUCCAGACCUCACGCUAAGAAAAUUGCGCAAAGGACCAGAAAAAUCUGACCUCGAAGGACGCGGUGAAGGAAGAUGAGCCACCGUAAAACCUCCGACAACACUUGAACUAAACGCACGCAAGCAACUCAGAGAGAAAAACGUAGCGAAGGAAAGUGUGCAGGCAAUGAGCAGCAGGGGUGAGAGCUCAGGGCUCCCCAGCACCUCCUUUUAUAGGGGGGGGCCUGCGACCGCGCGGCCGUUGCGAUUCCCCGCGCCCAACGGCUAUAAGCGGAGGAAUCGGGCAGACCGUUGCGCUUCAUCAAUGCCAACGGCUAACUCCAACGGCAAUAAUAUCCUCCGCAAUCCUCCGCAAUCCUCCGCAAUCUAACGAGCGUAGGAUACUUAACAGCAAUGAUCGAAGGAUCCCGGCAAAAUAAAGAAACAAGAAAAAUUACGACUAAGUGAAAGAAACAGUUAUCCAACAUUUGCUAACAAGCACAUCCUGCGCACCAGGGGGGAAGGCAGCAACCAUGCUCGUGACCUCCGCAGCGUAGCAUGUUUUUGAGCGCAUGGACCGCAGGAGUGCCAUUAGCCCAAAAAGGGGGGAACUGUUGGGGAAAAGCUGCAUCCUUCCCCCUGGUAGCGCCGGAGGUUAUCCUUCACCUGAGGAACCUCCGACGUCUGGGACGUCGGAGGAUAACCUUCGACGGGGAAUACUAAUGUUGACGACUCGUCAGGUCAUGCAAAGUGUGCGCAGGAACUGAAGCACCGGCGGAGGUCCGCGAGCGAGGAAAAGGUUGGAACCUCCGACCCUCCCGAGUCCGAGGAUAACAGGAGAACGCAACCAGGCCGAGCAACCUCCGACCAGCCGGGCUGCGGAACCUCCGACACCGAAGCGUCGGAGGAUCCACAACUGGGCGGAGGCUCCGAGCCUUCGACCUGCUGAAGCCCAGUCGAAGGAUGAACAAAGAGUUUGCGACGUGAAAUUACGCGAGUACAUUGGGGUCAGUAGACUGCGAUGAAAGAAUAUGCUGGAAUAUUCCCCCACCGUCGCGGGGCAUUUAUGUAAAUGUCGUUGAGUCGGUCUCCGAGCCCUAUAUAAGGGGCGUGAUGCCGCCAUUAAUAGAGAGAGAGCAUUCACUGUAUUCACCUACUGUUGAGUCCACUGUCCGCUAUUGCUCAAGCCUCUCACGGCACCGAGUGAGAAGGUUCUCGAUCUACUGUACUGCUGGGGCGUGCGAAGAGCAUUUUCCCAACACCCCUAUCAAUUUUCAAUGUGAAAUUAAGCCCAACAACAAUUCCCUUUCAAGAAUAAAUCAAGCACAUGUGCCAUGUCAUGGCAGAUUUAACAUGGGUGAAUAAGUUCCGCCACAAGAAACUCAAUCAACUAAGUCACUAUGCUUAUUCCACACCUUAUUGAGUUAUCAGCUUGUUUAAUGUAGAAAAAGAAGAAGUGGAGAAGCCAGCAUUUAUGGAAACAAGUCUUGAGCAUAGAGCUCUCGAGAGCGCUUACAUGCGAAAAACUGAUUUGCUCAUUUAGAUAUCACACCACCUGCUUAUGUAUCAAUAAUGUUAAUCUCAAAGUGAACUCUUCAGUUCAUCAUAUUUUUAAUUUUAAUACUCCGUUCAUUUACGAAAGAAUACAAUUCAUAAUUUUUGAGAAUUCAGUCGAUUUAAAAUUUAACUAAAAUUAUAUAAAGAUGUAAUAACAUUCACGAUUAAGUAUUAUUAAAUUUAUUAUGAAAUAUAUUUUUAUAGUAAAUCUAGUGGCAAACAAAUGUUAAUACUACAUGCAUGCACUCGUUUCGGUGGGGUUGCAUGCAAUCCUCUCUAGGCAAUCAACGCAACCAGCGUCGCGGGCGUGCGAGAGCAGUAGUCGUAGAAACCGACUCAUUUUAGGGCUAUAUAUGAGUAGUAAGGCUAAUCUUAGGGUACGUUUGGAUUUUUCAAUUAAACUUUAGCCAGCUAAAUUUAGCUGCCAAAGGAUCUAAACGACCUAGAUAAAAGACUAGCUAAUGUUUAGCGAAGUUUAGCUGCUUCAACCCGGCUAAACACAGCCAAAAUUUAGCUAAGCCUAUUAAUUGGAGGAACCAAAUAUCCUAAUUAAGUUUAGCUGGGUGUAUACUUAUUGACCAGCUCGGUCGGGCACGAUGGGCCGACCUAGGCACAAGACUAAUAAACACGGCCCAAGCACGGCACGGCCUGGCUCACAUCAUGCAUGUGCCACCUGGCACGGCUCGGUGGUAGUGUCGUGUCUAAGCCGUAACUCUAGUCUGCAAUGCCAGCGUGAGCACGGUAUGAUUACUAGGCUGGAACGAUGUGACCCAUUUAUUCUCCACCAUUAGAUGAGCACUAAUGAAUCAAAGCCAUUGGAUACUAGUAUAUAAGCAUAUCUCCCUAAUUUCCUCCCUCUCUAGUUUCCCGACCCUCCGCCCUCACCUUCCUUCACCCCGAUCACUGCCACCCCACCACCGACUGCCUUGCUCGGCACCCCGUCUGCUCCCCACUCUCCAGGUCGACAAGAUCUGCAGCGGUGCCCUAGGUGACGACAUCGGCGCGAGGGUUGUGUGGCAUGGCGGCAUCACGGGCGCACAACGACGACACGUGCUGAUGGGCACUUGUUGGCAACGUCACGGGGCGUGUGGCUGCUUGGCGCAAAGAUGGUGCACGGUGGGCUAUGGCUGGCACAAGCACUAUGGGCCGCUGUGCCUAGAAGCAUGGCAUUGCAUGGCUAAAGCCUCGGUAGUGUCGUGCUUGGGCCGCAACCUUGGCACAGCAGACACAGCACGGCUAGGGCACCGUGUCAUAUAGUGUCAUGUCGUGCAGCUCGGUUGGCCAUGUAUAUAUAGCUAGGAAAACAUUUAGUUUUGAAAUUUUAGCUAGCUAACUUUAGUAGCUGGAUUUAAAUAGGGUCGUGGAUUUCAUGCGGUGGUGUUAUAAAAAUUGUCACGUCAAUUUAAUUUUAUAUCAGUAAUUAUGAUAAAACUCUCUCUAUUUUACAAUUGACUUGUCAAGUCAUUAAAAAUUAAAACUGCUGAAUCUUCACUCGAACAAGUCUAAAUAGGUUAACGAGGAAUUAAUAGUCCUUAGUCUCCAUUAAAAAUUGUCGUGCGCUUGUAAAUUCUAGAUGGAGUACUAGUUAAAUUUUUUUAAAAAAAAUAUCACUCUAUCACCACGUGCUGGCGGACGUGAAGCAUCCGGUUUAAUUUUUCGUGGAAUCGGCGUCGAGCCACGACGCAAACGUCAAGAGCUGCGUGCCCAAAUGUGAGACAGGAUCAGAUGGGCAAGGAAAAGCACCCUGUUUGCUGCCCGGAACGCCCGCCAUUGAUGGCCUCCUCGUGCCUUCGUCCGUCGUCUCCUAUUCAUCAGUCGACAAGAUGCUUUAAUUACCGCACGUUUCUGCAUAUGAAGAAGAGAUAGCUAGCUCUUGUUGCGCAAAAGGGAAAUAAAUAAAGCUAGCUAGAGAGAGCUCGUAGAAAGGCGUUGCCCAACAAAGCGUCGCCGUGCAUGGGACGCACUCCACAGUCGGAGUCGGAGCCCGGCGCCGCCGCAAGUACAAGCGGUCUCACCGUCCGGCUCCGGCCGGCGCGCACAAGGUAUUGGACGUAGGCAGUUGCACGCCUGAGCGUAUAAUCGAGUGGUGAGAGUGCACGACGGUGCCAAUCAGGAUAUCGUUUGGCAUGCAGUAGACAGUAUAGUGGUGGUGCCGUUUAGAAUAAUGGCGCCAAAAGGAUGCUCAACUUGGAGUAAAUAGUGUGCCUCUCCUUGAGUAUUAGUGAUGGCUAACACCAGUCUCAAUGGAGAGUUUCAUAGUGUUGUUUGUAAGAUUGCUAUGUCAUAUAAAAUAAAAUGAAAUUUGGAUGAAACACCUGUUCUCAAUGGAGAGUUUCAUUCUAUAGCUUAAUAGAUAUUUAAUUUCAAGAUUUAUAGAGAGUUGGUAAUCGUGACAUACUUAUUUCUUCUCUCUUCUUAAAUACACUACUAUGUCAUCCAAAAUAUCUAUGUGACAGUCUAUCUAAUAUGAAUGAAAUUUAGAUGAAACUCACUUAGACUGGCUAAGCGGCUGCUGUGUAGUAAACUAGUAAUCCUACCCACGGUAGCCAUGUCGAUCGAUAGAGGGAUCGUCCAAAUCCGAGUACCAAAGCACCCAACAUUAGAGGCCUUUAUUUACCGGCCCUAUACAUGAUAGGAUACUAGGAUAAGCAUGUUGAUGGCGAUAGUACUACAUCUUUUUUAACUGAUGACUGGUAGUGAUUGCAGUCCAGUCAGGAAGUGCUAGGUUCAAACAAUGGGAUGCCGAACAGGGGAUAAUCUGACUCAAGCUCCCUAAUCCACCUGCUUGCAGUGGUAUCGGCAAUGGGAUAAUCAUAUAUCUAUGAAGUAUCACCUAGACACCUACUGUAUUUGUUUAUGUAGACUAAGACUCAUCUGUACUAAAAAGGGAUCCGAGUGGCAUAUCAUAUGGGGCCACUUGAGUCGCUGACGAUGGGCCAUAUAUGGUGGCAAAUUAUAUGCCACACACCCCUCAUAAUAAUGCAUCUUGGACGAUGAUGUGGGUUUCUUAUGCAGAUCACUGAAGUUGCGGAUGGGCAAAAUUAGAUUUUGGCUGCUCAAAUCUUAAGACUUUAUCUCUCCAUUUCAAAACACAAGUUAUUUCAGUUUCAUCCCAAAUCAAAAUUUUCCUAACUCAGAAAAAAAAUAUAAUCUUGUUGAGUAGUGCUUUGAAAAUAUAAUCUUGCUAAGCGAAAAUAGUAAAGUACUCAUUCAGUUUUAAACUAUAAGACUUUCUGGCUUAUAUAGUUUUUGCUACACACACCUAGAUACAAAUUAUGUCUAGAUGUGUAGUAAAAGCUAUGUAUCUAGAAAAAAAACUGAAUGUCUUACAAUUUAGAAUGCAUGGAACAGUAAAACUUUUUUUUUGUGAUGAUUAAGAUGGAGACAAUUAAACACUUGUUUUUUAACUGCCUUUUUGCUUGUUCCCAUAUAUGGCAUGUAUUUCAGGAAGCUUUGGAUCUAUAUUUGGGAAUUAGUUAGGAAACUUUAGUAAAGAAUUAAAACUGGUAAUACUGUUAGGGGGAGGGCCGGCCGCUAUGUGUUUGGCCUGUUGGGCACUUUGGUUUACCGGGAAUUCUUUUAGUAUUUCAAGGGAGGUUUCUUUUUCAGGUUUUAUUCUCGAUUAUCUGAUGCUCCGUACUUGGUUUAUUCUCCAGAAAUCAUAUACUUGGAGUUGCAACAGUUGGUGAGGGUGGCCAAUAGCGUUUUUCUUCUAGACACAUGGGUCGCAAUCUAGUAACUAAUAUAUUCACUAGAUUGUGUGUGUUUUUUUAUUACACCCACGUCAAAACUACUUUUUAAUUUUUUAAAAGUCUUUACAUACAUCCACUGGACUGAAUUUGCUCUUGGAAUCUUGAUACUUGAUAUAGCUUUCCCAUCUAGCUUUUCAUCACGAUGGCAUAAUCCCACAAAAGAAUUGCAAUCUACCUAGCUAGUGCCAUUCAGUCCAGCUUAUACUUUUUAUGAUUUAUCAAGUCCAUAAUUCACUGUUAAGGCUGCUACGUAGUUACCCUAGUAGUUUAUCUCAAGGUAGCUAGAUAUGUCACAUCUUUUUCUUUUUUUGAAACUAUAUGUCACAUCUUGGCCGUGCAUGCAUGGCGGCCUGCAGCCCUCUGUUUAGGACAGGCGUCGUGAAGAGGCGUGGAGGCUAUAAAAAAUGGUGGGCCCGGGUGGCCCAGUUCGUUCGUUCUUCGUUCUGUUGCCUCGCGUGGCUAUAAAAUGGCAGCUUGCUCGUUUGCAGAAGACACACACAGCAGUUCACAGUAACAGAUAGUCUUCUCAAUUCCCAUCCAUCGAUCUCUCGCCGUCGCCGAGCUCGAUAUCUCAGUCCAUCGAUCGCCAUGCGUCCACCGCGCUCCGCUGUGCCGGCCAUGGCGCUGGCGCUUGCGCUGGUCGUGGCACUACUGGCACUGGCCACCACGGCGGUGGCCCGCCACUCCUACACCACCACCAUCGUUCCGGCGCCGGCGGAGCGGGCGGACGAGGAGGUGCGGCGUAUGUACGAGGCGUGGAAGUCCAAGCACGGCCGGCCGCGCGGCAACUGCGACAUGGCCGGCGACGAGGACCGGCUGCGGCUUGAGGUGUUCCGCGACAACCUGCGGUACAUCGACGCGCACAACGCGGAGGCGGACGCCGGGCUGCACACCUUCCGCCUCGGCCUCACCCCCUUCGCCGACCUCACCCUCGAGGAGUACCGCGGCCGCGCCCUCGGCUUCCGCGCCCGCCACCGCGGCGGCCCGAGCGCGCGCGCGGCAGCCAGCAGGGUCGGGAGCGGCGGCACCCGCUCUCACCACCGUCGUCCCCGUCCCCGCCCCCGCUGCGGCGACCUCCCCGACGCCAUCGACUGGCGCCAGCUUGGCGCCGUCACCGACGUGAAGAACCAAGAACAA
rnacentral:lncRNA from 1 species